rnacentral:rRNA from 1 species
CACGUAGGGGGCGAGCGUUUGUCCGGAUUUAUUGAGCGUAAAGAGCUCGUAGGCGGCUCAGUAAGUCAGGUGUGAAAACUCCAGGCUCAACCUGGAGACGCCACUUGAUACUGCUGUGGCUAGAGUCCGGUAGGGGAGCAUGGAAUUCCUGGUGUAGCGGUGAAAUGCGCAGAUAUCAGGGAGGAACACCAGUGGCGAAGGCGGUGCUCUGGGCCGGAACUGACGCUGGAGGAGCGAAAGCGUGGGGAGCAAACAGG